AUUGAACGCUGGCGGCAGGCCUAACACAUGCAAGUCGAACGGUAACAGAAAGCAGCUUGCUGCUUUGCUGACGAGUGGCGGACGGGUGAGUAAUGUCUGGGAAACUGCCUGAUGGAGGGGGAUAACUACUGGAAACGGUAGCUAAUACCGCAUAACGUCGCAAGACCAAAGAGGGGGACCUUCGGGCCUCUUGCCAUCGGAUGUGCCCAGAUGGGAUUAGCUAGUAGGUGGGGUAACGGCUCACCUAGGCGACGAUCCCUAGCUGGUCUGAGAGGAUGACCAGCCACACUGGAACUGAGACACGGUCCAGACUCCUACGGGAGGCAGCAGUGGGGAAUAUUGCACAAUGGGCGCAAGCCUGAUGCAGCCAUGCCGCGUGUAUGAAGAAGUCCUUCGGGUUGUAAAGUACUUUCAGCGGGGAGGAAGGGAGUAAAGUUAAUACCUUUGCUCAUUGACGUUACCCGCAGAAGAAGCACCGGCUAACUCCGUG
rnacentral:rRNA from 1 species